rnacentral:rRNA from 1 species
CAAUAGCGUAUAUUAAAAUUGUUGCGGUUAAAACGCUCGUAGUUGGAUGUAUGCGAAUGAAUUUCGGUCCUUCCCAGAGAAGAAUACACGAGAUUUCAUUUGUACUUGUUCAGGGAUGGUGGAUGCACUUCACUGUGUGACCACAUAAUCUGGAUUUUUACUUUGAGGAAAUAAGAGUGUUCCAAGCAGGCAGUUGCCGUGAAUAUGAUAGCAUGGAAUAAUAGUACAGGACUCUUGGUUCAAUGCUGUUGGUUUGUUUGAGCUAGAGUAAUCAAAAUAAAGGAUAGUUGGGGGUAGUUCGUAUUUAACUGUCAGAGGUGAAAUUACUUGGAUUUUUAAAGUACGAACAAAUUGCGAAGGCAUCUACCCAGGAUGUUUUUGUUUGAUCAAGAACGAAAGUUAGGGGAUCGAAGACGAUCAGAUACCAU